rnacentral:tRNA from 1 species
AGACUGAUGAAUGCGGAGUUGCACGAACUUUUAAUCCGUUGGUCACUGGUUCGAAUCCAGUACGGCCUACCA